rnacentral:rRNA from 1 species
UAGGGAAUCUUCGGCAAUGGACGAAAGUCUGACCGAGCAACGCCGUGUGAGUGAAGAAGGUUUUCGGAUCGUAAAACUCUGUUGUUAGAGAAGAACAAGGACGUUAGUAACUGAACGUCCCCUGACGGUAUCUAACCAGAAAGCCACGGCUAACUACGUGCCAGCAGCCGCGGUAAAACGUAGGUGGCAAGCGUUGUCCGGAUUUAUUGGGUGUAAAGCGAGCGCAGGCGGUUUCUUAAGUCUGAUGUGAAAGCCCCCGGCUCAUCCGGGGAGGCUCAUUGCAAACUGGGAGACUUGUGUGCAUAAGAGGAGAUUGGAAUUCCAUGUGUAGCGGUGAAAUGCGUAGAUAUAUGGAGGAUCACCAGUGGCGAAGGCGUCUCUCUGUUCUGUAACUGACGCUGAGGCUCGAAAGCGUGGGGAGCAAACAGG